rnacentral:piRNA from 1 species
UUACCAAACUUAAGGAAGCGACGUCACAG